rnacentral:lncRNA from 1 species
UUAUUUUAGUCUAAGCCAGAAAUCCAGUACGCACCACAUUUGGAGCAGGAGCCUACAAAUUUGAGAGAAUCAUCUCUAAGCAAAAUGUCCUCAGAUCUGCAAAUGAGAAAUUCACAAGCGCACAGGAAUUUUCUUGAAGAUGGAGAAAGUGAUGGCUUUUUAAGAUGCCUCUCUCUUAACUCUGGGUGGAUUUUAACUACAACUCUUGUCCUCUCGGUGAUGGUAUUGCUUUGGAUUUGUUGUGCAACUGUUGCUACAGCUGUGGAGCAGUAUGUUCCCUCUGAGAAGCUGAGUAUCUAUGGUGACUUGGAGUUUAUGAAUGAACAAAAGCUAAACAGAUAUCCAGCUUCUUCUCUUGUGGUUGUUAGAUCUAAAACUGAAGAUCAUGAAGAAGCAGGGCCUCUACCUACAAAAGUGAAUCUUGCUCAUUCUGAAAUUUAAGCAUUUUUCUUUUAAAAGACAAGUGUAAUAGACAUCUAAAAUUCCACUCCUCAUAGAGCUUUUAAAAUGGUUUCAUUGGAUAUAGGCCUUAAGAAAUCACUAUAAAAUGCAAAUAAAGUUACUCAAAUC